rnacentral:rRNA from 1 species
GAUGAACGCUGACAGAAUGCUUAACACAUGCAAGUCAACUGUGGCGGACGGGUGAGUAACGCGUAAAGAACUUGCCUCACAGAUAGGGACAACAUUUGGAAACGAAUGCUAAUACCUGAUACUGUGAGAGAGCUUUGCGUCCCAUUAGCUAGUUGGAGAGGAAACGGCGCACCAAGGCGAGGAUGGGUAGCCGGCCUGAGAGGGUGAUCGGCCACAAGGGGACUGAGGAGCGGCCCGUACUCCUACGGGAGGCAGCAGUGAGGAUUAUUGGACAAUGGGCCAAAGUCUGAUCCAGCAAUUCUGUGUGCACGAUGAAGUUUUCGGAAUGUAAAGUGCUUUCAGUUGGGAAGCGGUACCAACAGAAGAAGUGACGGCUAAAUACGUGCCAGCAGCCGCGGUAAUUC